UACGUAGGGUGCGAGCGUUGUCCGGAAUUAUUGGGCGUAAAGAGCUUGUAGGCGGUUUGUCGCGUCUGCCGUGAAAAUCCGGGGCUCAACCCCGGACUUGCGGUGGGUACGGGCAGACUAGAGUCCGGUAGGGGACCACGGAAUUCCUGGUGUAGCGGUGAAAUGCGCAGAUAUCAGGAGGAACACCGGUGGCGAAGGCGGUGGUCUGGGCCGGCACUGACGCUGAGGAGCGAAAGCGUGGGGAGCAAACAGG
rnacentral:rRNA from 1 species